AGCCAAAGAACCUAGGAGUGUAUACACCCCAGGAAGAAUAUGACACAUUCGAUAUAGUCAUUUUCACAUUUUCAUUUAAUUCAUAUAAUGUUUGGGAAUUACAUAUACUUAGGCAUUUGUGAAAGUUCUAUAGCAAUAUAGAGUGGGAAAACGGAUGUGAAUUUGGACAAUUAAUAGACACUGCAGUAAAUAAAACCUAAUAAAAACAUCUGUCUUGUCCAGGACGUUGUCUCCGCAGACCGGUGUACCAUAGCCAGUCAGAGCUACAGUAGGCCUAUAUGGAAUUAAGCCAUUUGCCACACAGACCUGCCAUCAUUCACUUUGAACUGGACUGUGUGUUUACGUAUAUGCAGUAGCAACAGCGCAACUUUAAAUCAUUUGAUUGCAUUCACCAAAAGCCACAUAAAUCACCUGAAUGGAUUUCUGCAAAUAUGUAAAUACCAUGGGAGUCAUCUUACAUUUGGGAACGUCACAGCCCUAUUGAUCAAACAACCAUGAACAGGUACAGUAGGCUCUCUCUCCCUCGGGUUGCCUAUGCAUAUCAACAACAACAAGAUCAAUAACUAAUGCUAGCCGGAGAGAGAUGAGCUAAAAUCUAACGAAGGAACACUAGAUAAACCCUCUCAAACUUUCUCAGCUUUUAGUUGGCUAUAAAUUAUUUUCUGAUAAACGAUGGGGAAGAGUAGCUUGCUCGUCCUUCUGCAGCUUGUCUGCCAAUGCAUUCUUGUCCCAACCCAUCUUUUGAGAACUGAAUGGGAACUUGCCUGCCUGCCAAAUACAUUUGCUUGACAACUAAGAUAUAUGCUAACUGUGGAUAGCAGUCGUUCAGGUUCAGCAUAGCUAGCUAGCGAAGCGAUUCACAUUCUUGCUAGCUAACCAAAUGACACCUGCAUCUCUAGCUGUAGCCACUGAAAAAUGAUAUGAGGGGAAAAAGUCGGUCACUACCCCACUCCUCCAAUGACAUCCUCCCAGCAGCUAGCUAGCUAGUUUGCUAACAUUAGGCUCCUUGUUUUUAGCUUGCUAAAUAAAUAGGUAGCUACAUAAAUAGAUAUGCUAGCCCAUGGGUAUCAAACUCAAUCAGCGCACGGGCCGUAUUGAACAUUUGGUGCACUCAAAAUGUCUUGUGGUUGAGUAGCCAGAUUAGGCUACUGCUCAAAUGUUGCUGUAAUAGGCCUACAUGUUUUACCUUUGCGUGGUGUUUUGCUGCAGGUUUAGUUUUUUGGUUAUUCAUUGUCAAGCUUUAAAAAGCAAAGCCAGACUGCAACAUUUUAGUAGCCUAGCUAGGACUGUGGCAUGUGUCUGUACACUUUCCCUCCACUGCACGCUACAAACGGGAAAAACUAAAGCAGUGCAAUUGAAGUUGAAUUCCCCAAAGCAAGCACAUCAGGCUGUAUUUUCAUGAAGUAGAUUACUUUUUACUUAUUUAUAUUCGCUUCUUUGUCCUAUUCAGUCCAAGGGCCUUGUGUUUGAUAUGUUCACUAGCCUAUUAGCCACAUUAUGACUGACUUGUGAUCAUUGCCCUUGCUAGUUGGAUUCAGUGGAGGCUGCUGAGGGGAGGACGUAUCAUAAUAAUGGCUGGAACGGAAUAAAUGGAUUGGCAUCAAACACGUGAAAACCAUGUGGUUGAAGUAUUUGAUACCAUUCCACUAAUUCUGCUCCAGCCACUACCAUGAACCUGUCCUCCCCAAUUAAGGUAACACCAACCUCCUGUGGUUUGAUUGUAUUGACAUUCCUAGCCUUAGUUACAGUCGUCUGUUUUUGUUCAAAAUAUUGAGUCAUUGAAACUGAAACUGAAUGGGUGGAGAUAACAAACAAUGUUCCAGGCCAGCUGGGAUUUAUAACCUGAUAGAAAUAUUUUUUGGGCUUCCAACAAAUGUAAUGGUGAAUUAUAUUAAUCAUGCAUUGAACUGCAUCCAUCUAUUCUCUGAAAAAUCCCAUGGAAUUCUGAGUCAAAUAUAACAUAUUUUUAAAACCUUUUUAUGAAGUUGGUUUUGUAGCAUAAACUGGGAAUGUGAUAUUUUUGACUGAUAUUAUGAUUGUCUGUUGGUUUAAUGUCUGCAAAGUAGUUUAAAUGGUGUCAGUUCCAUUUUACAUAUUGCAUUACUGUGUAUUUCCAUGCAUUUGCGGGAAAGUUAUUUAUUUCAGUGUAUAGCAAACAAAAAGCAUAUUUCCUUGUAACUACAACAACAUUUUAAAUACAAGUGAACACUAUCCAUCCCUUGAUCACCUUUUCUAGAUAAGAGUCAAGUACAUUGACGGUUUCAAGUACAUUGGCGGUAAGCUUUCCUUUCAAAGAGCAACUCACCAUUAAUGAAUGACAUUUUCCACAGAAUGGAAUAUUCCUUUGUUGUAUGUGUAGGCCUGACAAAAGACUAGGGGUUAAUGCAGUGCAUUGCAGCUUAGGACACACUUUGCUCUUUUCAAAUUUUAGCAUUGGGCCUGUGACAUCAAAAGGGCCUUUGAGCGUGUCACUAUGUUCAGUGAGCUUUCAUCUUUUUACCUCAUUACAACUUUCACAGUGGCACAAUGACUUGGCAACAAAGCUGUUGUCUGAAAUCCUCUCGAGAUGUUAGGCCCCCACGCUUUAACUCAGCCCUCAACGCUUUGACUCAACUCCUGCAUUUGAAUUACAGUAAGAUCCCUGAAAGUGAGGAUUCGUAACUCCUCAGAUCAGACUCCACGAUCACAUCACAGUAAAUCCCCACAGGGAUCUUCUGCAUAACAUGAGUUGAGCUGAUCAAUGGGUCUACUUCGUUAGUUUCUAUUGAGGCUUAGACACCAUGUCCACAAAGAAAGCUUACAAGAAGUGAAACAUACUGUUAUUCUUUAAACAGUCUUCUUACCCCCAAAAAUUGAAAUGUUUGCAAAUUGAAUGUACCAGGUAGCUAGAAUAAACAAUUGCAAAGAAUUUCAGACACGAAAAGGUAGACAAUAUUAUAUUUCUUCAAAAUAGUACUUAAAUUAUAUAUAGUGUUUUUUAUAUAGUGUUUUUAUUCUUAGAAUAUAAAAUGACAUUUGGGCUUUUUUUUCAUUUCCAAUAUUCUAUAUCAAGACCCCAAUAUUUCUUCAAUCAGAUUCAGAAGGAAAACAAACACAGCUUUGAGUGAGCCCCUAGAGUGUGUGUACACACACACACACACACACACAUACACACACUGAGAAUUGGGCUCAAAAAGUCAGCUGGACAGUAGAGUUCCAGAGGUACUGCUGACCUAGUUUUGAUCUCUGUCUGUCUGUCUCUCUUUAUCCCUCUUGUUCUCUCUCUGCUUCUCUCUCUGUCCUGCUUUCUCCCCCCCCCUCUCUAUUGUUCUCUCUACUCAUCUCUCUCAAUUACAUUUCAAUUUAAGGGCUUUAUUGGCAUGGAAACAUAUGUUAACAUUGCCAAAGCAAGUGAAGUAGAUAAUAAACAAGUGAAGUAGAAAUAGACAAUAGAAUGUAACAGUAAACAUUACACUCACAAAAGUUCCAAAAUAAUAAAGACAUUUCAAAUGUCAUAUUAUGUGCAAAUAGUUAAAGUACAAAAGGGAAGAUAAAUAAACAUAAAUAUGAGUUGUAUUUACAAUGGUGUUUGUUCUUCACUGGUUGCCCUUUUCUUGUGGCAACAGGUCACAAAUUGUGCUGCUGUGAUGGCACACUGUGGUAUUUUACCCAGUAGACAUGGGGGUUUAUCGAAAUUGGGUUUGUUUUCAAAUUCUUUGUGGGUCUGUAUAAUCUGAGGGAAAUAUCUGUCUCUAAUAUGGUCAUACAUUUGGCAGGAGGUUAGGAAGUGUAGCUCAGUUUCCACCUCAUUUUCUGGGGAGUGUGCACAUAGCCUGUCUUCUCUUGAGAGCCAGGUCUGCCUACGGCGGCCUUUCUCAAUAGCAAGGCUAUGCUCACUGAGUCUGUACAUAGUCAAAGCUUUCCUUAAGUUUGGGUCAGUCACAUUGGUCAGGUAUUCUGCCACUGUGUACUCCGUUCAGGGCCAAAUAACAUUCUAGUUUGCUCAGUUUUUUUCUUGAUUCUUUCCAAUGUGUCAAGUAAUUAUCUUUUUGUUUUCUCAUGAUUUGGUUGGGUCUAAUUGUGUUGCUGACCAGCUUGCUUAGGGGACUCUUCUACAGGUUCAUCUCUCUGUAGGUGAUGACUUUGUUAUGGAAGGUUUGGGAAUCGCUUCCUUUUAUGUGGUUGUAGAAUUUAACGUCUCUUUUCUGUAUUUUGAUAAUUAGUAGGUAUCGGCCUAAUUAUACUCUGCAUGCAUUAUUUGGUGUUUUAUGUUGUGCACCGAGGAUAUUUUUGCAGAAUUCUGCAUGCUGAGUCUCAAUUUGGUGUUUGUCCCAUUUGGUGAGCGGUUCCCAGACCUCACAACCAUAAAGGGCAAUGGGUUCAAUAACUGAUUAAUGUAUUUUUAGCCAGAUCCUAAUUGGUAUGUCGAAUUUUAUGUUCCUUUUGAUGACAUAGAAGGGCCUUCUUGCCUUGUCUCUCAGACCGUUCACAGCUUUGUGGAAGUUACCUGUGGCGUGUAAGGAACGACGCAGGAGAUGAGAAGCAGGUACAGGGAGUGAAGGUUUAAUAGCUGACGGACAUGAAACGGAACAGGAACAGCGUCUGCUCUAUACCAAAUUAGCAUACCCCCUGAGUCCAUUCCCUGUUUCUACCCCCUCCCCCCUUGUUCUCUCUCUGCUUCUCUCUCUCUGUCUCUCUCUCCCGCUCGUUCUCUCUCAGCUUCUCUCUCUAUGUCUUUUUCUCCCUCUUGUUCUGUCUCAGCUUCUCUCUCUCUGUCUCGCUCUGCCUUUACAACUUAAUUUCCUCUCCUGUUGAUUUGGAGUGUUUGUUUUAAAACACUUUUAUCAUGUCUGCUUUACAGGCUCACUGUAAUUGCUGGGUAUGAAACGAAAGACCUGUAAAACACACAAAUAAAUAUUUGACUGAUACAAAAGGUGUCCGUCUGACCCAGGUCAUGUAGAAAAUAACAAAUCUAAUGAAUUGCCCUUAUUGUGUAGACUUUCCGUGCUGCCUGUUUUCCAAUCAUAGACCUACCAAUCAGAGCUAGGCUUUUGUUAACGUUAUCGUGCUGUUCAUUUAUCUCGCUGCCGGAAAGCCGUGUUCAGUUAACGCCAUCAUAUCAUCUGAUUGUGUUAUCAAAGUUGUGCUACAGAACGCUCUCAGUCGUUUUACAAAGGGACAGACGUUGUUGAGGAGAAAAUGGUUAAGUGCCUGGACCUAGACCGUGUUUAUAAAACCUUGAAAACAACUCCAGAAAAAUCGAAAUAAAAUCAGGACAACAAAAUAGUCUACUUUGUUGACAGAAAAUAGGCUUUUGUGUCUUUAUGAUCUAUUCGUCAUCCACCUGUCAUGAAACAUUAAUGAAACAAUCAAAUCAACCACUUCAUUUCCUGACAAUCAGUUUGUCAUCCUGCAUAUUUCUGAAUAUCUCUCAUCGCCUCCACUAGGCUUCUCAAGAACAAGUGUUCAACCCACAUUUGGUUUGUUUUAGAAAGUGAGAACUGGAACACAAUUCAUUUGUUUGCUUUCCCCUAUGCUUGAGACCACAGCGACUCCAAUCCUCGCGUUUUAUUUGUUUGUUUGUGUGAAAGGUUGUGGAACACUGGGGGGACAUUGGACUUGGUCUCUGGUGAGGCUCUCCAGCCACUGCAGUCAGUGACUAAGCUAAGCUAGUCAGGGAGUAAGUAAAGUGGGUGGGCUCUCAUUUAGCUAGGCAGUGCUGCUCUUGUUUGUGGUUGUCCCUGACAGCGUCGGCGACUCCAGUCCAAAGCACCUGUGUUUGCUCACUAGCUUCCCCCAAUCUGCUCAAAACAUGCUGCGAGCAUGUCACAUGGCUGCCUGAUAGGCUUUUAGAACAGUUAAUCAUUAAUGGUGCCUCUCUCUCCCUAUUCACGCGUCCUGACACAAGCUUUGAUAUUUCAUAGAUCCAGACAGGUCAGACGCAGACGUAGCCAGGUAGACAAGCACUCAGAGAGGAAACUGCCUUUGUGGUUCUGUGUCUGUGGAUCUGAGGUGAUGCAGGGAGAAGAUUGUAGGCAGCACCGCAUUGAUCCCAUUGGUCCCAUUCCACCUCC
rnacentral:lncRNA from 1 species